rnacentral:rRNA from 1 species
UAGGGAAUCUUCGGCAAUGGGGGGAACCCUGACCGAGCAACGCCGCGUGAGUGAAGAAGGUUUUCGGAUCGUAAAGCUCUGUUGUUAAGGAAGAACGAGUGUGAGAAUGGAAAGUUCAUACUGUGACGGUACUUAACCAGAAAGGGACGGCUAACUACGUACCAGCAGCCGCGGUAAUACGUAGGUCCCGAGCGUUGUCCGGAUUUAUUGGGCGUAAAGCGAGCGCAGGCGGUUAGAAAAGUCUGAAGUGAAAGGCAGUGGCUCAACCAUUGUAGGCUUUGGAAACUGUUUAACUUGAGUGCAGAAGGGGAGAGUGGAAUUCCAUGUGUAGCGGUGAAAUGCGUAGAUAUAUGGAGGAACACCGGUGGCGAAAGCGGCUCUCUGGUCUGUAACUGACGCUGAGGCUCGAAAGCGUGGGGAGCGAACAGG